rnacentral:rRNA from 1 species
UAGGGAAUCUUCCACAAUGGACGCAAGUCUGAUGGAGCAACGCCGCGUGAGUGAAGAAGGUCUUCGGAUCGUAAAGCUCUGUUGUUGGUGAAGAAGGAUAGAGGCAGUAACUGGUCUUUAUUUGACGGUAAUCAACCAGAAAGUCACGGCUAACUACGUGCCAGCAGCCGCGGUAAUACGUAGGUGGCAAGCGUUGUCCGGAUUUAUUGGGCGUAAAGCGAGCGCAGGCGGAAUGAUAAGUCUGAUGUGAAAGCCCACGGCUCAACCGUGGAACUGCAUCGGAAACUGUCAUUCUUGAGUGCAGAAGAGGAGAGUGGAACUCCAUGUGUAGCGGUGGAAUGCGUAGAUAUAUGGAAGAACACCAGCGGCGAAGGCGGCUCUCUGGUCUGCAACUGACGCUGAGGCUCGAAAGCAUGGGUAGCGAACAGGAUUAGAUACCCUGGUAGUCCAUGCCGUAAACGAUGAGCGCUAGGUGUUGGGGACUUUCCGGUCCUCAGUGCCGCAGCA